CUCCCUGCACCAGAGCCAUAAACAUAUCAGUCAUCUUAAUAUUUCAAAAGCACAUGGUCAGAACUAGUGCUGGGCAAUAAGGUUUUCGGUGCAGAUCGGUUCGCCUUAUUAGGAUUUCGAGUUAUUCGGAUUGUGGUGUUUAGGACUCGUUUAGGAAUCGGACAUUUUUCGGAUUGGAUCAUUUCGGGUGUUCGUUUGGUUCGCUGUUCGGGUUUGGUUUUGAUUUCUCAGGAUUAGAAAAAUAGGAACGUUUGGGUUUUUGGUAAAUUUUGGUCAAGUUCCAAUUUGUCUGCUCGAUUCCAGUUCGGUUUUCGGGUUUAAGAUAAUAUGCCCAGGACUAGUCAAAACUGUUAAUACCUUGGAGUCAGAGUUUCUGUCCAUCUUCAAGGAGUUCUCAUGACAACUAUGACCUUCCUGGAAUAUGCUCAGUCCAUGGGAUAAGCUGUUGCAGUAUCAUUUAAUCAGUUUAGCUUAAGAAAGGUUCUUUGUUGUUCAUCAGAUGGUAAGAGAUUGCAGUAACCACAAUCUCCUCAAUGUGACUGCUUAGGAACAUGGUAUCUGCAUGGCAUACCGAACCUAAGUCAUCACAUUCUAAAUCAUUAGCCGCAAGAACCUCAGCUAUGUGGUUCUUGUUGUCCUGGAACUGAAUCAGUUUCAUGUCGUCUUCAAACCGAGUU